GAUGAACGCUAGCGACAGGCUUAACACAUGCAAGUCGAGGGGCAGCAUAAAAGUAGCAAUACUUUGGUGGCGACCGGCGCACGGGUGAGUAACGCGUAUGCAACCUACCUAUCAGAGGGGGAUAACCCGGCGAAAGUCGGACUAAUACCGCAUAAAACAGGGGCACCGCAUGGUGAUAUUUGUUAAAAAUUUAUUGCUGAUAGAUGGGCAUGCGUUCCAUUAGGUAGUUGGAGAGGUAACGGCUCACCAAGCCAACGAUGGAUAGGGGAACUGAGAGGUUGGUCCCCCANACUGGUACUGAGACACGGACCAGACUCCUACGAGAGGCAGCAGUGAGGAAUAUUGGUCAAUGGGCGAGAGCCUGAACCAGCCAAGUCGCGUGAAGGAGAAGGAUCUAACUUCUUUUGCAGGGGAAUAAAGUGCAGGACGUGUCCUGUUUUGUAUGUACCCUGAGAAUAAGGAUCGGCUAACUCCGUGCCAGCAGCCGCGGUAAAGUCG
rnacentral:rRNA from 1 species